rnacentral:rRNA from 1 species
CAGCAGCCACGGUAAUACGAAGGGGGCUAGCGUUGUUCGGAAUUACUGGGCGUAAAGCGCACGUAGGCGGAUACUUAAGUCAGGGGUGAAAUCCCGGGGCUCAACCCCGGAACUGCCUUUGAUACUGGGUAUCUCGAGUCCGGAAGAGGUGAGUGGAAUUCCGAGUGUAGAGGUGAAAUUCGUAGAUAUUCGGAGGAACACCAGUGGCGAAGGCGGCUCACUGGUCCGGUACUGACGCUGAGGUGCGAAAGCGUGGGGAGCAAACAAGAUUAGAUACCCCCGUAGUCCCUGUCUCUUAUAC